AUUGAACGCUGGCGGCAGGCCUAACACAUGCAAGUCGAACGAGUGGCGGACGGGUGAGUAAUGUCUGGGAAACUGCCUGCUGGAGGGGGAUAACUACUGGAAACGGUAGCUAAUACCGCAUACCAUCGGAUGUGCCCAGAUGGGAUUAGCUGGUAGGUGGGGUAAAGGCUCACCUAGGCGACGAUCCCUAGCUGGUCUGAGAGGAUGACCAGCCACACUGGAACGAAGACACGGUCCAGACUGCUACGUGAGGCAGAAGUGGGGAAAAUGACACAAUGGGCGCAAGCCUGAGGCAGCCAUGCCGCGUGUAUGAAGAAGACCUUAGGGUUGUAAAGUACUUUCAGCGGGGAGGCGUUACCCGCAGAAGAAGCACCGGCUAACUCCGUGCCAGCAGCCGCGGUAAUAC
rnacentral:rRNA from 1 species